rnacentral:lncRNA from 1 species
UCUUAUAUGCACAGUAAACUUUCACUAAAUACUAUUCCUUAAUUUGGGGGUUUUAAUUUUGCCUUUUCUGGAUUUUGACAGUUUCUGGCAUCAGAAAUGGGAUUUAAAGGAGACCCCCCAAUGACUCAGAGGACAGUGAGCAACCAGGUGCCUAUGCCCUCAGAGCCUGUUCAUCUCACUGCUUUCUCACCAACCCUGGAGUUGGAGGAUGUCCACUGUGACAGGGUUUGGGGAAAAGGACAGCAUGCAAACCAGAGGACCUAGAAGGAUGAUAACUGUUCACCUUACAUCACUCAGUAAAGACGAAAACACCUUUUGGCCCAGCAGUCAGAACAAAGGAAAUUCUUUACUUGAGAAUGAAAGUGAGCCAGUAAUUGUAAGUACUGCAUGCUUUCCUUUUUCAGCAUAAUAUUUUCUACAUAUUAAUUUGAAAAUAAAGAGCUUAUAUUUCAGUAAUGUUAACUCAGAACAGAGUUGGAAACAUAAUAUGCAACAGUAUAGAAAAAUUUUAAAGCAUGUAAAAAAAAAUCCCUCCCCCCAACACACAACAAUAGAGCUAGAUGAUUGUAUAUGAUGACAUCAUUGCAAGAUGAACUGUGGAUUGGUGCCAAGGGGACCAUAAAUACUUAAGGUACGUUUCUGAUUUACUGUCAAGAGUGAAGCUUUACAGAGGUAAGUCAGUGUGUAGCUCUUUAUUGUUAUGUAACAAAACUAUCCUCUAACCCUUGACUUAGUGGCUUUAAGCCACCAUUUAUGUACCUGUUAUGUUGUGAGUCAGCAAUUUGGAGAGGCCUUGUCUGGGAGCUUAUUUUCUGGUCCACAUGGUACCUGCUAGUACAGCUAGGGGUGGAGGAUCUGCUUCUACAUUGGUUUCUUUGCCUCUUCUAGGAUCAGACACAAUUAGUUAGAAAAAUUAAAAGUCUACAUAAAUUUGACUUUGUGAGCAGUGAUGACCAGUUGUAAAUAAAUACCUGCAUAUAGAAAUAUAUGUUUUUGCAAUAAUAAUAAAUUAUGAAUUAAUAUAUUUUAUCUCAGGAAUAUAAUAAGGGUUAGCACAAAAACCUUUAUUAUUACUUACUUUUUGAAGUAUAGUCGAUUUACAAUGUUGUGUAAAUUUCAGGUGUACAGCAC